rnacentral:misc_RNA from 1 species
AACGCACCUUGCGCUCCUUGGUAUUCCGAGGAGCAUGCCUGUUUGAGUGUCAUUAAAUUAAUCAAAUUCUUUUUUUCUUUUAAAAAGGGAUUUGGAUUUGGAGUGCUGCUGGCUUGUCAAAAGUCAGCUCCUCUUAAAUACAUUAGCGUGUACACUUUGUGGAUAGGCUUUGGUUUGAUAAAAUAUCUAUGCCAUUGCUGUGAAGCAAAAGUCAGCUUCUAAUUGAGUUAGUUAACCAACUAUCAUUAUCACUCUUGACCUCAAAUCAGGUAGGACUACCCGCUGAACUUAA